rnacentral:lncRNA from 1 species
GCGAGACAGGGGUUUCUUCCGACGAGCUUAUCUCUCUGCUCACGCGUCCGAAUUCCACGAUUCCAAUUGCUAUGAGACCGUGCUCCAAUGCUCUCCAACUUCUAUGAAGGACCCGCCGUCUGAAUCGGACCGGAAGGCUCCCCGGACAGGCGAUUUCUGAGACUCGUUCACACCCGGAGAUUUUGGCCGAUACACUUCAUUCGCGGUACGUGAAAAUGGCCGGUAAAGCUUCCCGCGGUACAUGAAAAUGGCCGGUAAAAC